rnacentral:rRNA from 1 species
GCAGUAGCCGCGGGAAUACGUAGGUGGCAAGCGUUGUCCGGAAUUAUUGGGCGUAAAGGGCUCACUGGCGGUUUCUUAAGUCUGAUGUGAAAGCCCCCGGCUCAACCGGGGAGGGUCAUUGGAAACUGGGAAACUUGAGUGCAGAAGAGGAGAGUGGGAUUCCACGUGUAGCGGUGGAAUGCGUAGAGAUGUGGAGGAACACCAGUGGCGAAGGCGACUCUCUGGUCUGUAACUGACGCUGAGGAGCGAAAGCGUGGGGAGCGAACAGGAUUAGAUACCCGCGUAGUCCCUGUCUCUUAUAC